CCUCGUCUCUCUCUCCCUUUCUGUCCCCCUCGUCCUCCCCUCCCUCUCACUCUCACUUACAGCCUGCGAGCACUAUUUCAAGCCUCCAUCAGAAGCAGCGAAGGAGAGCAAGUCACAGAGGUCGAGGGGGAGGGGCCGCAGACAGGAUCUGGAGUUCAAGUGCAUGUGGAGAAAAUGACCUGGAAGAGAGGGAGAGAGCGAGAGCCUGGACAACAUAGUCUGGAAUAUCCUCUUCCAUUCCAGUUGCAGAUAUUUGCCCUGGAAUGAAGAAGGUGAGAUUUGGGUGGGGGGAAAGAAAGGCAUGCACAGAAGAGCAAAUGAAAGAAAGAAAAAAUCGAAAGCUGGGAGACGAGUGCGGAGGACAAGAAAAUGUAUUCCGGCCCCCUCCCCUGAACUCUCGACUACGGCUCACUCCUCCUUCUUCCCUCCCUUCCGUGAACCCCUUAGCCUCUUUUUUUUCUAUCUAUCGUUCCCUCUCUGUCAUUCUCUCCCCUCCCACCUCCUCAUGCGGUCGCUUGCGUACACAUGCGCCCUUACGUUCUCUCUCUCUCUCUCUUCCUUUGCCGGCUGCAGUGCUUCUCUUCUCAUCCCAGCAGCCUGGCAGCUUCAUCCGUGUUCCUCCCUCCUGGACGGAGAAGCACGCUCAGCCUUUCUAAUAGUCCCCCCCACCCCUCUGUGAGCCUCCCUAAAAAAAAAGAAAACAGGCCCCUUCAGCAGCUCCUUUUCCUACUUGUCUCGGUGCCUGAGCACCGUCCGCUCUUUUCUGCACUUACAUUCAUGAUUUGUUCUUUUGGUUCAUUUGUUCCAUAGUUUUCUUUCCACAAAAUCCCACAGUCGUAGAGCGAAAGCAGUUCAGAGCACGGUUUGAAUGAAGAGUAGGAAAUGGGCUGAUGGGAUGGGUAGGAGGAAAUGAAAAACGUGGUUUGGGAGGAAACGCUAAGAGGAGAGAAGUGACUGCCACUAGGAUAGCGGAGAGAGGAGGAAGGACCCAGAGCAACGGGAGAAAGAGCCAAACGUGGGAUCAGCGAAACCGCGGGAAAAGGAGGAACAGCCAGACUGAUCACAGUUUCUUCUUUCACUGGAAGAAGUGGCAGUUACAUAAGAAAGCAAGUAAAAAAUGCUGAGGGACGAACAUUUGGACUGGUCGUUGUUAUUCCUUCUCCGGGAAAGGAAUAAGGGAACGAUAAAUACAAGAUAAAUACAUAAAAACGAAUAAAGAAACACAUAAAGUAAUGGAACCACUGGAAAAUCAGCAUAUUUGAAGUUUAUAUCAUACUGCUUUGGAAUGGCAUCCUGGUCAAAGCCGCGUGCAGGAGAGCCAAAGACGUCAUCGGGUUUGGAGAAGAAACAAGCAUCGUGAGAGGGAAGCAUUUGUACGGUAAGGAGAGAUGGUGAAGACGUGUCGUCAUAAACAAGUGACGCUUUAAUUGAUAUGGAAUCCAAAUUUUCAAUGUUUAUUUUGCUAGCGCACAUCGUUGGUCUUCAGGUGAGCUAUUUAUCUUUGUGAGUUAAUCCACAUGCACAUAUGAAAAUGUUUGAUUUAGUGACCAUCGUUAAUCAAAAGCUUAACACUUGAAUUAGCAGUUCGUCUCUGAUGAUGUAUGUUUGAUAUCUUGGGCGAAACAUGCUUCGUCACACCCCUUCAACCGUUAGUUUGCUGCAAGUGAAAGAUAAAUGUAGGAGCGCUAAAAUGAAACCCUGCCCCUUACUCAGUAUUUCGUUUCAGUUGGAAGUACAUCAUCACACAGACAUAGAACU